rnacentral:rRNA from 1 species
AUUGAACGCUGGCGGCAGGCCUAACACAUGCAAGUCGAACGGUAACAGGAAGCAGCUUGCUGCUUCGCUGACGAGUGGCGGACGGGUGAGUAAUGUCUGGGAAGCUGCCUGAUGGAGGGGAUAACUACUGGAAACGGUAGCUAAUACCGCAUAAUGUCGCAAGACCAAAAGAGGGGGACCCUUCGGGGCCUCUUGCCAUCGGAUGUGCCCAGAUGGGAUUAGCUUGUUGGUGGGGUAACGGCUCACCAAGGCGACGAUCCCUAGCUGGUCUGAGAGGAUGACCAGCCACACUGGAACUGAGACACGGUCCAGACUCCUACGGGAGGCAGCAGUGGGGAAUAUUGCACAAUGGGCGCAAGCCUGAUGCAGCCAUGCCGCGUG